UACAUAGGGACCGAGCGUUGUCCGGAAUCAUUGGGCGUAAAGAGCGUGUAGGCGGCUUGCUAAGUCUUGCGUGAAAUCUCCCGGCUCAACCGGGAGGGUGCGCCGAAUACUGAAUGACUUGGAGUGCGGGAGAGGAAAGUGGAAUUCCUGGUGUAGCGGUGAAAUGCGUAGAUAUCAGGAGGAACACCAAUGGCGAAGGCAGCUCGCUGGAACGGUACUGACGCUGAGGCGCGAAAGCGUGGGGAGCAAACAGG
rnacentral:rRNA from 1 species